rnacentral:piRNA from 1 species
UGAGACUGCAGGAAAUGCUGGAGGCCUCCAAA